AGAACCAGAAAGGAGAAUCGAACUCGGGACCUGAGUCAGCGGGAAGUCGCAAAACUGCGCUUCCUAACUUUCUUUUAUCAGUGAAGCUCAAAUAUGUCAAGCUAGGGUACCACUACUUAAUCUCCAACGUCAUCUACCUCCUACUAGUCCCUCUCAUCGCCGCGGCCUCCGCCCACCUCUCCACGCUCACCGCCAAUGACUUCCUCCACUUGUGGCAACAGCUCAAGUUCAACUUCGUCUCGGUCACCUUGUGCUCGGGCCUCAUGGUUUUCCUAACCACCGUAUACUUCACCACCCGCCCUAGAAAAGUAUACUUGGUGAACUUCGCAUGCUACAAGC
rnacentral:lncRNA from 1 species